rnacentral:rRNA from 1 species
UGGGGGAAUAUUGCACAAUGGGCGAAAGCUUGAUGCAGCAACGCCGCGCGAGCGAAGAAGGUCUUCGGAUCAUAAAGCUCUGUCCUUGGGGAAGAUAAUGACGGUACCCUUGGAGGAAGCCCCGGCUAACUACGUGCCAGCAGCCGCGGUAAUACGGAGGAUGCGAGCGUUAUCCGGAUUUAUUGGGUUUAAAGGGUGCGCAGGCGGCGCGCCAAGUCAGCGGUCAAAGUUCCGGGCUCAACCCGGUGUCGCCGUUGAAACUGGCGUGCUCGAGUGCGUGCGAGGAAGGCGGAAUGCGUUGUGUAGCGGUGAAAUGCAUAGAUAUGACGCAGAACUCCGAUUGCGAAGGCAGCUUUCCAGC